CGCAAUUCCAAUCCCAAGCAACUGUCGGCAAGUAAGAAAAGACUUACAAAAUGCUCUUUGCUCUUGGGAGGUUCAUUUUCUCUUUGUACAUUUUCAGCUACCAUCUACACAUUGCCAUCCUCGUUAGCUAAAUCUCCACAGCAUAUCAUUCUCUCACCAUGAACCCACCUGCACCGUGAAUGCCGGGCCAACCACCUUGACCUUUUGUCCAUCAGAAGGUGAGUAGAGAUGAAGGUCUGGGAUAUAACCUCCAGUUUGCACCCCUAGCUUUAUAAGAGCAUCUGAUAUCUACAUUCAAAAGCGGCGUAACCAACGCACCAGGCAAGUUUAGUUUAUGGAGCGUGGGAAAACAAGCCCAGAGACGGCCUCACCUCGCAAGUGGAGAGCUCUUCAAGCGAGUUGAAUGUCUGCCUUUGAGCCAUCGAUAUACGUAUUGUACUCUGAGCAAAGUGAUACUCUUUGCAUAAAAUUCGAAGCGCCAAAGAUAUAUAGGUAUCUGAUAAGCCGGCAAAGGAAAAAGGGUUGAUGACAUGUGAGGAGUGUCAUCGUUAUCCGGAGUCGGCUAUCACAUUCAGCCGAUCAGGUAGCUUUCGAAACCCGACGAUUUCCAUCCACGCUGCUAACCUUGACACAUCUUUUUAGCCUUUUCGUCAAGCGUCAUAGCGUAAGUCUUCGUGGACAUGAGAUGGAAGACGGGCCAUCUUUUGCAUCGCGAUAGCACCAAAUAUUAGGAUUCCAAACACCAUUAGCAUUGCAUACAGUAUCCGUAACAGAAUAUAUUUCCAGAUAUCGACCAGAUAGUCCGUGGUGUACACCUAGCAAGCAAGGAGAAAGUGACACGCGGAAAGAUGGUAGGGUAUAUAAAGAGUAUUAUCAAGUUUUUGGGUAUCCAAAGGGCUUCAAUUCCAAUCAUAAAUUUAUAAAUACGUCCGAGCAUAUUGGAAGAACGAACAAUUAUGGAUAGUGUUAGAUCAGUGGUAUUUGGAAAUAGCAGCAAGAUGAAGCAACAUACGAUAACUGGCCAUCCUUGACCAUCAUCCAGUUCUCAGAGAGGCCAUAUCCAUUUCUACCAGCUUGUCAGCCUUGACAUACCUUUGCUCUUACCUAUGGGGAAACUUACGAGUAAGCGUAACCAGCAAUACGCGAAUCGGUCUCAAAAAUGUCGACCGCAGUGUUGAUAAAUGCGUUGAUCUCAUCUUGGUCGGUGCAAGGGAUAAAGCCGGUGGAAUCGUCUACACACGCAAACUCUGUCACCCAGAUAGGAAGACCGUAAGUGUUCCAGUAGUGAUCCUAUAUACUAGUUCAGACCAAAUACGCAUCUUGCAUCUGAAAAUCACUUACAAUGUCAAGCUGGAUCCCAGCGGCGUCUUUCUUAUUCACAUGGAUGUUCAUGAUAUCAGGUUUCCUAGAUACACCUUCCAUAAAAGGUCCAAGCCAGCCGGAUUCAGCAGCUUGUUUGCACAUGGAAGGACCGACAAGAAUGGUGCCGGCCUCGCCCUUGGGCGCAAUCAAUGAGUCCCAAAGUGCAAUACCUGCUAGCGUUAGACUCGUGGAUUUGUUUUCCGGAUGAACGAAACCCACCAGUGGCAACGUCAAGACCAGAGCUACCUGACCCAGCAGCACAGUCGGGCUCCUCAAAUCCAAUGAUAUACGAAGGAGUGUCGGCGAGGGCCUGGAAUGCGACAAGACGAGCAGAGUCGGUGCCAUCAGCGCUACCACCACCCCAGAGCAUUGGUACUGUCACAGCACUGCCGCAAUCACCAGAAGGAGUGGCAGACCAGUCUGUUUGCCAGCGUCAGCCUAACAUGUCAUUCACCAAUAUUGCGAGAGUGUUACACGCACCAUACCACCAGCCCAAUUUUGACGCAAGCCAGGGCAGCGAAUCACCAGCACUUACACCUGCCUUGUUACCAUUGGGAGUCAAGCCGGCAUAACUGACGACGCUCGUCCCUGAGCCAGAUGAAGAGGAAGAUGAAGAUGUUGAAGCUGCUGCCGCUUGUUCAGAUGAGGACGUGGCGUCAACCCAGUUUUGUUGGUUGUCAAUCCAUGCACUGGUGGUAGCCGCGCUUUCAUCACUUGUGCCGAUGCUGGCACUGGAAGCAGGAGACGCGACCCAGGCGGAAGUACUCGUAAUAGCAUCUGUGCUGGCAGGCAAGAGAGAACUAGCGAUGGUUGAUGCAGCAGUACUCGAGAUAGCAGAAGCGCUGCUCACACCAGUGGGGACAUAGCUCUGCCCCUUUACUCGACAUUGGGACCCGUCAGCGCCUCUCUUGGCGAACUUCUUUCCGGCCCGCUUCCUCGCCAUCUUGUGCUCGAUGGAAUCGUGGUAAGCACGCCCAAGAGGCUCGUUGGACGCGGGAGAGACAUGGUCAAGUACGAAAGCUGCAGCACGCGCGUGAUGAUGUCUACGAGAGGGAGAGUGGCCGUUAAAAGGGGAGUUGUGCCGAGCAAGGGCGAGGGUAGGGAGAACAAGGACGAGAGAGAUGAGAUUGGCGGCAAGCAUUGUUAUGGAUGGGCUUGGAAGGAGGUCGGAGUGGAUAUGGGCAGAGGAGUAUUGAAAGAGCGUGGAGGGAAAGAGUGUGAAUCACUAUGUAAUCGACCGGCAGGGGGACAGGGAUCGCAAAGGGCUCCUUUACCGGGGAUUAUCCUGGCUGUAGGCGGAAGAGAUGGAUUGAAAGGAAAGAUGGACGGAGGAUGGAUGGAAGAGAAACGGACCAAGACCAGGGAGAAUUGCGCGCCCCCUCCGUCUCUCUCGAAUGUGUUGGUACAAAAUGCCAAGCUUUUAUUUACAGCUGCAUCCAUCGCACCCCUCGUUCCUCUUCUUCUUUUACCCAUGGGAAUGCAU
rnacentral:sRNA from 1 species